AAUUAAUCUAGUUUGACAACUGAAUUAACGAAUAUGUUCCCAAGCAGACAAUUUAUCAACUUACUCAUCAUCUCUGGUUUUUUGAUUAUUACUCCCUUAGUAGAGGGUAUAAAUCAAUAUGACUGCUAUUAUGGAUGGUGUCGUUCUUGGUGUAAUACCAAAGAAUCGGGAUACUGGUGUUACACAACAAAAGGUCAAAAGCUCGACGGAGGAUAUGUUAAAUGCAGUUGGAGUGGGGAAUGUAAAGAGAGUUGGCAAUGUGCUGGGGCUUGUUAUAAACCACGCCUGUAAAUAAAAGAACUUGAGGUGCUUUA